UACGAAGGGGGCUAGCGUUGCUCGGAAUCACUGGGCGUAAAGGGUGCGUAGGCGGGUUCUUAAGUCAGAGGUGAAAUCCUGGAGCUCAACUCCAGAACUGCCUUUGAUACUGAAGAUCUUGAGUUCGGGAGAGGUGAGUGGAACUGCGAGUGUAGAGGUGAAAUUCGUAGAUAUUCGCAAGAACACCAGUGGCGAAGGCGGCUCACUGGCCCGAUACUGACGCUGAGGCACGAAAGCGUGGGGAGCAAACAGG
rnacentral:rRNA from 1 species